UGAGUGACCUGCCCUUAACUCUGGGAUAAGCCUGGGAAACUGGGUCUAAUACCGGAUAUGACUCCUCAUCGCAUGGUGGGGGGUGGAAAGCUUUAUUGUGGUUUUGGAUGGACUCGCGGCCUAUCAGCUUGUUGGUGAGGUAAUGGCUCACCAAGGCGACGACGGGUAGCCGGCCUGAGAGGGCGAUCGGCCACACUGGGACUGAGACACGGCCCAGACUCCUACGGGAGGNAG
rnacentral:rRNA from 1 species